ensembl:lncRNA
CUUUGUCUAGAUGGAUUCACCUGGUGUUUUGCUUGAUGCGUGAAGAUGUGCCUCUGAUCACGUACCACGUGUAGCAUCCGUCUUGGUCCAGUUUAAUACACGUGGCCUUGAGUUCUUCUUUGUUUGAUUUUAAAAUAGCCACCUUUAUUUUCUUUUUGUUUGCCUUUCCUUGGUGUGUCAUUUUUAAACCUUUUUUUUUUUUUGUCACUUCCUUUUGGAGAGGUCUCAUGUUUAUUUUAAAUGGAGUUGGGCCUUUUUUCUUUCUUUUGUAAACUCAGUGUGACAGUUUUGUCCUUCAGUUGGGAAAUUCUACUUGUCCAUGUUGACUGAUAAUGAAUAAAUUUUGCUUUAUUGUUUUCAGUUUACUCCUUGGUCACCACAUAUUUUGUUUUCCUCAAUUCCCAUGUUGACUAGAAAAUGCCUUUGCUAAUUUGAAAGGUGUGUGCUUUCCCAACCUAACAGUCAAAGUAGAUCUAUACUUUUCUCCUAAAAUUGAUACUAACAUCAACUCAUUGUUUCUCCCACCAGGAUGUGCAGUUAGUUGUUGGAGCUGGUGGAGUGGAUCAAGCAGUAGAGUACCUGCUUAGAAAGCAGGAGUCCCUGAGUUCAAACCCCAAUACCACCAAAAAGAAAAAAAAAGAUGCACAGUCAUCUACCCAAUCUCUUCUGGUUUUUGCCGUUCCUACAAUUCUUCCAAGCAACCUUUUCACUUACGAAUUCCAGGUUCCCAGUAAACUGUGCUUCUAACAGAGCAGAGCACGUGGGUUCGUGGCUGAGAGCUGACUCGUCCCAGCUCCCUUUCCUGAUCAUUUACCUUUCUGUAACAUGGAAAGACAAAUAGACCCUUAAACCUGACUCAGAUCACCGCUGCCAACUUUUUCCUUUGUGCAUUUCUGAGAUGGAACCUGUCGCUCUGUUCCACUUGGGUUUGGGAGGAGCGCAGGAGAGGAGCUGAAGGAAGAAUAGUUCGCAUCAUGCUUGAUCACUGCAGUGUAAGGUGGCCUAGAUUCUUUGGCAUUUUGAGAUGUGGUUUGUCCAUUGGGAGUGUAGAAGGCAUGGCAACACACGGCAUGCUGCACUGGGGUGCAAGCAGGUACUUCAGAUUUCUCAGAACACCUAGACCUGCCAGUAGGGGAGAAGACAGAUGGACUAUAAGCAGAUGGAGAUGUUACCAGAUGUUUAAGACUGCAAGAGAAUAACUGAGAAUUAUGUAAAAUUACUUACCAGGUACUUGAUUAAUGUUUGUUUAUCUUCCCCAUAAGGACAAAUGCCCUGUGUAAUAUCUCUAUCUCUGUACUGCCCACUCACCAAGCCCUUUAUGAAUAUUGAUUCAACAAAAAAAAUUUAUCUCUUCAUAUGUGUAAAUUUAGGGCCUGUUGCUUCAUUAAUAGUGAUUUUUGUGAAAAGAAAUGCUCAUAGUUCAGACUACUAGAGACCCUGAUUGAGGGAAUUAGGCCAAACAGGAAAGUCUUGUGCCCCCUGAAGGUAGAGUUGUCUGACAAAUAACCUGGGCCUUGCUAAAUAACUACUAGGUAUAUUUUUAAAUAGUGGGGUUAUUGGGUUGAAGUUCUGACUAGUGUGGAAACCUGUCCUCUCCUCUCAGGUCUGUAGAGCUGGUUAUUUUGCAGAUGCACCAGGACUGGAAAGGCUGUGACAUGUGGCCAAAGCUUGAAGCUGCUCUAUAGUGGGCAGUCUCAGUGAUUCCUGCUGCCAGUGCUUAGAAGGAUGAGACCUGUGCUGCCUGCUUCUCCAACCCUAGAGGGGGCAUUCCAAGCUGUGUAGCCUAAGCCAAUAGGUGAGAUGCCUAGAGGGCAGAUGCUCUGUUAAGCUCUAUGAGUACAAAGGUGAAGAACCAUGCCUGUCCUUGAAGGAGAACCAUUGUAGCCUUCCUGACUCAAGCAGGCAUUGUACAACCAGGCGAUAUUCCUGAUGUGGCCCAUAGCCUUCACUAGAGAAACUUUCCCAAACCAUACAUCUAUAAGCUCUAUGGCUUUGGCAAGUCACUUAAUGUCCCUUAACUUUUUUUCCUUCCUUCUUGGAGCAGAGAGACUAUCUGGGUAAGGGGCAGAUGAAAUAGCCUAUGGGACUGUCUUCUAACUGUGCAGUGGUUAACUCUUACAGUUUCAUAGAUGCUAUGCUUUUGGGAUGGAGCAUUGCUGAGUAUGGAAGACCUGAAUGAUAGCAUGCAUGUUUGUAUGAACUGGCCUGCUAAGUCAUUUUGAGUUUGUAUUUGAAAGUAAUGGGUGGGUUGUUACCCAUAUAUAAAGAAUUAGAUCCAGGCUCUAAAAGGUUGUUUGCUGUUCUUUAGCAAAAUACCAUUCUUCUGAAGUUUCAUACAAUCAUUCCACAAAAAUCUAAGCAUCUGUUUCGUCCCAGGCAUUUUGCUUAUAAUGGGUAUGCAGCAGCAGACAGAACACUUGCUUUCUUCUUCUUCCUUCUUCCUUCCUCUUGGCGGUACUGGGAUUUGAACUAGGGCUCACACUUGCUCUACCACUUGAGCCAUUCCGCCAGCCCAGCACUUGCUUUCUGUUCUCAUAGAACUGAUUAUUGGACAGAGAAUAUUGCAGGAAUAGACAAGUGUGAGGAUGGGCAUAGAGAGGUGAAGCAUUCGUAUAAACUGCUAUUUGUUGUAAUAUUUACAUGUUAAUCUGGGAAGGUCUUUCCAUGUAAAAGUAGUGAUUUAGUCUCUUGUCUAUAAAUAACUCCUUUCUUUGUAGACAGUGAGUUAGGGCAAGAAGUUAUAUCAUCAGGGAAGAGUGGUGUUUUACAAUAGAAAGUACAAAUGAAGAGGAUGCUAAGGAAAGAGUAUAUUUUAUAUAUGGAAUACACAUCUCAGUUUGUACAUGAAGUUGCUUAGGGAAAGUAGUUGUAAACGUGAGUGCUUUAAAGGAGCUACCAAAAUCCAGGAUAAACCAAUUAGUGAACAUCUUUAAAUAUAAACACUCAAAGCCUACAGCUCUGUUGUUCCAGCUAGACCUGCAAUGCUGCAUUAGAACUUUGUGUGAUGAAACAUUCUGUAUCUGCUGUGUUCGGUAUGGUAGCCAUUAGUUCACAAGUUGCUAUGGAGUUCUUGUGAGUGUAGCUAGUGCUACUGAGGAACUGAAUUUCAGGUUUUAUUUAAUUUUAACUAAUUUCAAUGUUAAUUGCAACAUGUGAUUGUAGCUACUAGGCAGCACAGGUCCGGACAUAAGGUUAACAAAGUACUUUCCUCCUAUGUGUUUCUUUGGUUAAGCGUAACAAUGACAUUUUUCCUGUUGUAUUUAGGGCUGUCAGAAAGGGUGUGCACUUUUUUAAAAAAUGGAACACAACCACUUAGACCAGUUGCCUAAUUUGCACACAUUUUUGGGAGCUGUUGAUGUUGCCUAUUGGUAAAUACUAAGUACUUAUAAUGACCUAAAAACUGCAAGACAAACAAGUUUCUGUAACUGAGUACCAAGGGGUUAAAGAACUGAGGGAAAUGGUGGCGACUCUGAUUCAUAGAUAUUCAAAAGCUUUUGUGACUGUGAAAAUAAGCUAGACUUUAAACAUUUUGAAAUAAAAUUGAAGUUCAUUUGAGUUGAAAUUUUUAG